UUACCAUCUUCAAUUGUACAGAUUUUAUUCAUAAUCACGAACAUCAAAACAAAAAAUAACAAAAAAUAAAUAAAUAAAUAAAUAAAAAUGGAAACUACUGUAAAGCAGCAAGAGAGGUGGGAAUCGGUGCAUCUCUGCAGGUGUAGGAUUUGUGAUGUUUGUCGUGCGGUAGGAAGUGGAACUUGGCCGUUGCAGUCUCUUCUCUCUACUGAUCUCAUGCUCAGGGCUUGAGAUCCACAUUGGAUCAUGGUUACUAGUUCCCUGUCAUGUGCGGUAAAUCAACAAACAUCAACAUACAACAACACAGAGACACAGAGACACACAGAAACUCACAGACAGACAGACAGACGGAUGACAAUCCUCACAAGACACUGAUUCUCACUCACUCCAUUCUACUUCCGAUUCCCCAACAGCAAGUGGCUUCAGUGACGAUCCGAGCAGUUGCAUAACACACGCAUGUUCAGUUACCCAUUUGUUGCGUCUGUUUUUUGUGUAGGAAAAA
rnacentral:lncRNA from 1 species